rnacentral:rRNA from 1 species
UCGAGAGGCUUUGGCAAUGGGGGAAACCCUGACCAAGCGACGCCGCGUGGAGGAUGAAGGCCCUUGGGUUGUAAACUCCUUUUGCAGGGGAAGAAAUGCGAUCAGGUGAAUAAUCUGGUCGUUUGACGGUACCCUGCGAAUAAGCUCCGGCUAACUCCGUGCCAGCAGCCGCGGUAAAACGUAGGACGCAAGCGUUAUCCGGAGUUACUGGGCGUAAAGCGCGGGCAGGCGGUCUCUUAAGUCUGAUGUGAAAUCUCCUCGCUCAACGGGGAGCAGCCAUUGGAAACUGGGAAACUGGAGUCUGACAGAGGUAGGCGGAAUUCCGGGUGGAGUGGUGAAAUGCGUAGAGAUCCGGAGGAACACCAGAGGCGAAGGCGGCCUACUGGGUCAGAACUGACGCUGAGCCGCGAAAGCUAGGGGAGCGAA